rnacentral:lncRNA from 1 species
CAUAACCACUGCCCGAGAAGGGAGUGGACACAAGAGAGACUCCAGGAACAUCAGAGGAGUAAACAAAAAGGGGGCUGGUAGAGUCCACUGAGGAGGUACUAACAUUCAUAUUAGAAGCCAUGAACAAUAAUCAGUUUGAAAUAAAAAACAGUCUCAGAACCCACAUGCAAAACAUACAACACUUAGAACAGGGAUAGAGUUACCC